AAUAAAUAUAGGUGAGAAAUAAAUACCAAAACAUAUAUGAGACCAAUUUUCAUGGAACUAAUCAGACAUACCAUGAUAGCUGCCACAGGAUUCGAAAUUUGAAAUGAAAGUUAAAUGCAAAUAAAUACCGCUCAAUGAUCAUGUAAUAUGCACUAAUGCAACCCCUAAAGAAUAUAGCUCAUUCAUCUGUUCAUCCGUGUACAACAGCAAAUAGCUUAGAACAAAACAUUCCCAAAAAAAUGGCCAGGAAUAGAUGCCUGGUCCAGAGAUAAGGCUAGCGGGCAUAUUGUGAACUAGAAGAUCAGGUAAAAGACUCACCAGAAAUGAGAGAGAGAUCUUUGAACAUCAUAUAGUGAUAAAACAGCGAUUUUGGAAAUUUUACCCAGAUAUACAUUGUAUGCUUAGGAGCCGGAGAUACUGCUUUAUUACCAUUUACCACAUCAUGUAAUAGAUGAUGAAUAAUAUUUAUUCACUAUCAUCAAAUAAUAGAUAAUUUACAUUAAACCUCCACAAUAGCUAUCUACCAUCACUUGUUCCAGCACUUUUUUUUUUUUUAAUCUUUUUACAUCAUAUAACAGUAUUCCAGCAAGGAGAAGUAAGAUCCACAGAAGAUCCUUGCUACCACUAAAAGUAAGCAUCAAUAAGCACGUGCUGUUGCUUGAAUAAACAGUUUAGAAUGUUCAGUUUUCUGAUCCAAAACAUCAAUCAAAUCAUGUUUUUCCAGGCUGUUGUAGCUCUAGCUGGAAAUUAAAGCAAUGUUAAAUACAAGAGCAGACCAAUCAAUUGUCCACGUUUAAUAAGUUAACAGCGAAGUGCAUUCUAACUGAUACCAAGAUAUUCCACCAUUGUUUUGAGUAUGGUAUCAACCAAUAUGACAUUGAUAGUCUGACAUAGACAUGCAUGACAGAGAAAUACUGAUUCUGAAACGCAUGGACCAUAAGUUUCAAGAUUCACAACUAUCAGGAGAUUUAAGUCCUAUGAUGCUUAAAUCUCACGCACAAUAUCAUGGAUGUCAACUAUUAUUUUUUCGCUAAGCACAUCAGACGAACAGGAAGUAAGGAAUCUGCAUUAGCAAUUAUACAAAUACAAAAUAUUAAGUAGUGCACCCACAAGUAAUUAUCUUUUAAAAAUGCGUAUCAACAAGGAGUCAGAACUCCAUUGUGAUAAAGAGAAGAGAAGCAGAAAGGAGCAUUAUUUAGAUUCCUAAACUUCUAAAAAGUACAGAUUGGCAAGAAAUUGUCGGUUAGCGACAUAUCAUUGGGACUGGUAUCUUAAAGCUAUACUCUUUUGCUUUAUUUUUUUCUGUCAACUUGUUUACUAAACCGAAACUCCUUCCACUUUCCCUUUUAUUCAUCAUAAUUCUUAACUUCUACAUUAUGCUUCAUAUCCCACAAACUAAUCAGACUGUAAUCCAGUAUUCAAAAGCCUUAACUAAUGAACCCUCUGUCCUCUCUGGUGAAAAAAUAUUGUUACUAAUCCUUCAAGAAAUCCCGCUUCAGUGCAACAUUUACACUU